rnacentral:tRNA from 1 species
GCAGUUGUGGUUCAGUGGUAGAAUUCUUGCCUUCCAUGCUGGAGACCCAGGUUCGAUUCCCAGCCAGUGCA